rnacentral:rRNA from 1 species
GAUGAACGCUGGCGGCGUGCCUAAUACAUGCAAGUCGAGCGAACAGAUGAGGAGCUUGCUCCUCUGACGUUAGCGGCGGACGGGUGAGUAACACGUGGAUAACCUACCUAUAAGACUGGGAUAACUUCGGGAAACCGGAGCUAAUACCGGAUAAUAUAUUGAACCGCAUGGUUCAAUAGUGAAAGACGGUUUUGCUGUCACUUAUAGAUGGAUCCGCGCCGCAUUAGCUAGUUGGUAAGGUAACGGCUUACCAAGGCAACGAUGCGUAGCCGACCUGAGAGGGGUGACGCCCCACAUGGGACUUGCGCCCGGUCCCACCCUCCUGCGGGCGCCAGAAGUGGGCAUUCUCCCGCAAGGGCGUAAGCCCGGACGGCCCACCGCCGGGUGGUUCAUGAGGUUUUUCGGUCCUAAAACCUUUUUUAUUGGGAAAAACAAAUGUGUUAAGUACCUUGCCGCCUCUGGCCGUCCCCUAAUCAGAAGCCCACGCCUAACUACGCC